GGUAUAGACCCGAAACCCGGUGAUCUAGCCAUGGGCAGGUUGAAGGUUGGGUAACACUAACUGGAGGACCGAACCGACUAAUGUUGAAAAAUUAGCGGAUGACUUGUGGCUGGGGGUGAAAGGCCAAUCAAACCGGGAGAUAGCUGGUUCUCCCCGAAAGCUAUUUAGGUAGCGCCUCGUGAAUUCAUCUUCGGGGGUAGAGCACUGUUUCGGCUAGGGGGUCAUCCCGACUUACCAACCCGAUGCAAACUACGAAUACCGAAGAAUGUUAUCACGGGAGACACACGGCGGGUGCUAACGUCCGUCGUGAAGAGGGAAACAACCCAGACCGCCAGCUAAGGUCCCAAAGUCAUGGUUAAGUGGGAAACGAUGUGGGAAGGCCCAGACAGCCAGGAUGUUGGCUUAGAAGCAGCCAUCAUUUAAAGAAAGCGUAAUAGCUCACUGGUCGAGUCGGCCUGCGCGGAAGAUGUAACGGGGCUAAACCAUGCACCGAAGCUGCGGCAGCGACACUAUGUGUUGUUGGGUAGGGGAGCGUUCUGUAAGCCGUUGAAGGUGGCCUGUGAGGGUUGCUGGAGGUAUCAGAAGUGCGAAUGCUGACAUAAGUAACGAUAAUGCGGGUGAAAAACCCGCACGCCGGAAGACCAAGGGUUCCUGUCCAACGUUAAUCGGGGCAGGGUGAGUCGACCCCUAAGGCGAGGCCGAAAGGCGUAGUCGAUGGGAAACAGGUUAAUAUUCCUGUACUCGGUGUUACUGCGAAGGGGGGACGGAGAAGGCUAUGUUGGCCGGGCGACGGUUGUCCCGGUUUAAGCAUGUAGGCGGAUGUUCCAGGUAAAUCCGGAACGUUAUUAACGCUGAGGUGUGAUGACGAGGCACUACGGUGCUGAAGUGACAAAUGCCCUGCUUCCAGGAAAAGCCUCUAAGCAUCAGGUAACAUCAAAUCGUACCCCAAACCGACACAGGUGGUCAGGUAGAGAAUACCAAGGCGCUUGAGAGAACUCGGGUGAAGGAACUAGGCAAAAUGGUGCCGUAACUUCGGGAGAAGGCACGCUGAUGGUAGGUGAAGCGACUUGCUCGUGGAGCUGAAAUCAGUCGAAGAUACCAGCUGGCUGCAACUGUUUAUUAAAAACACAGCACUGUGCAAACACGAAAGUGGACGUAUACGGUGUGACGCCUGCCCGGUGCCGGAAGGUUAAUUGAUGGGGUUAUCCGUAAGGAGAAGCUCUUGAUCGAAGCCCCGGUAAACGGCGGCCGUAACUAUAACGGUCCUAAGGUAGCGAAAUUCCUUGUCGGGUAAGUUCCGACCUGCACGAAUGGCGUAAUGAUGGCCAGGCUGUCUCCACCCGAGACUCAGUGAAAUUGAACUCGCUGUGAAGAUGCAGUGUACCCGCGGCAAGACGGAAAGACCCCGUGAACCUUUACUAUAGCUUGACACUGAACACUGGUCCUUGAUGUGUAGGAUAGGUGGGAGGCUUUGAAGUGUGGACGCCAGUCUGCAUGGAGCCAUCCUUGAAAUACCACCCUUUAAUGGCUGGUGUUCUAACGUGGGCCCCUAAUCGGGGUUGCGGACAGUGUCUGGUGGGUAGUUUGACUGGGGCGGUCUCCUCCUAAAGAGUAACGGAGGAGCACGAAGGUCAGCUAAUCCUGGUCGGACAUCAGGAGGUUAGUGCAAUGGCAUAAGCUGGCUUGACUGCGAGCGUGACGGCGCGAGCAGGUGCGAAAGCAGGUCAUAGUGAUCCGGUGGUUCUGAAUGGAAGGGCCAUCGCUCAACGGAUAAAAGGUACUCCGGGGAUAACAGGCUGAUACCGCCCAAGAGUUCAUAUCGACGGCGGUGUUUGGCACCUCGAUGUCGGCUCAUCACAUCCUGGGGCUGAAGUAGGUCCCAAGGGUAUGGCUGUUCGCCAUUUAAAGUGGUACGCGAGCUGGGUUUAGAACGUCGUGAGACAGUUCGGUCCCUAUCUGCCGUGGGCGCUGGAGAAUUGAGGGGGGCUGCUCCUAGUACGAGAGGACCGGAGUGGACGCAUCACUGGUGUUCGGGUUGUCAUGCCAAUGGCAUUGCCCGGUAGCUAAAUGCGGAAGAGAUAAGUGCUGAAAGCAUCUAAGCACGAAACUUGCCCCGAGAUGAGUUCUCCCUGACCCUUUAAGGGUCCUGAAGGAACGUUGAAGACGACGACGUUGAUAGGCCGGGUGUGUAAGCGCAGCGAUGCGUUGAGCUAACCGGUACUAAUGAACCGUGAGGCUUAACCUU
rnacentral:rRNA from 1 species